rnacentral:rRNA from 1 species
AAUGGCCUACCAAGGCGACGACGGGUAGCCGGCCUGAGAGGGUGACCGGCCACACUGGGACUGAGACACGGCCCAGACUCCUACGGGAGGCAGCAGUGGGGAAUAUUGCACAAUGGGCGAAAGCCUGAUGCAGCGACGCCGCGUGAGGGAUGACGGCCUUCGGGUUGUAAACCUCUUUCAGUAGGGAAGAAGCCCUCUUUGGGGGUGACGGUACUUGCAGAAGAAGCGCCGGCUAACUACGUGCCAGCAGCCGCGGUAAUACGUAGGGCGCAAGCGUUAUCCGGAAUUAUUGGGCGUAAAGAGCUCGUAGGCGGUUUGUCGCGUCUGCUGUGAAAGACCGGGGCUCAACUCCGGUUCUGCAGUGGGUACGGGCAGACUAGAGUGCAGUAGGGGAGACUGGAAUUCCUGGUGUAGCGGUGAAAUGCGCAGAUAUCAGGAGGAACACCGAUGGCGAAGGCAGGUCUCUGGGCUGUAACUGACGCUGAGGAGCGAAAGCAUGGGGAGCGAACAGGAUUAGAUAC